UUCAGACGUAUACGCAUUAUUUGGAACUGAAAAUUACGUAAUUUAUCGACCUGCUGGCUUGUAUUUGUUAUAAAUCAUAAAAAACCUGUGACGCCAGUGGAACUACGUGGUUUUCUUUCAUGAUGAUUUGAUAAUACCAUAAUGGAAUUAGCCAAGUUUUCGCCGUAUUGGGUGCUAGAUGCCCCUUGGAGUUAAGCCCCAGUGCCACUAUACUACCUUACCAGUUAUGUGUGGGUGUUGUAGUCCUAAGGCACCCCAGAGAUGCAUAGGGCCUUCACAAACUCACGCCACGCCUUCCUAUCUUCAGCAACCCUCGUGACCUCGCUCCACCAGCUCAAACCUGCCAGUCGCAGCUCAUUUUUCGACGGACCGCUUCCAUGAGUAGACAAGGCACCGACGAUCACGGCUUGCAUCACCUGUACUGCUUCGUAAUAUAGCAUGCUGAACAUCGCUGCCAUUAUACUAGGAUUAACGUCCUGCCCCUUCCCUGGCUAUGUACAAAUUGGAACUCCAUUGCAUGCCCCUUUGACUGAGCAACGUGUGUGUGCUCGAAACACAUUCACUUGCAACAUAAUGACUCCCAGGCUGACCUGGCUCAGUUCUUGUAUGUCUGAUCUACAUAGAC